rnacentral:lncRNA from 1 species
CUUGGUUUAAUCUUUGGGCUUGAGUUGUUUUAAGGAUUUGGGCUUGGUUCAAUUUUAAGAUGUGGGCUUUUCUUUUAUUUAUUUAUGUGGGCCUCAUAAUUUUAAUUAAGUUUGGGCUUUUCUAUUUGGGCCUCACCUUUUAAUUGUUGUGGGCCAAAGACUUUUAAGUUCGGGCUUGAUUUUAAUUGCUUGGGCUUUCACAGUUAAAUUCGAAUUGGGCCAGUCUUUUAUUUAAUUGGCCCUUCUCAUUAAUUCUAUUGGGCUCGAUUUAAUUAAGGAGUUGGGCUGAUGCAUAUUUUAUGAUGGGC